AAGGGUUUAGCUCAGUGGUAGAGUGUGCGCCUACCGUGCAUGAGGUCCUGGGUUCAGUUCCCAGUACCUCCA
rnacentral:tRNA from 1 species